AUAUCAAUAAGCGGAGGAAAAGAAACUAACAAGGAUUCCCUUAGUAGCGGCGAGCGAAGCGGGAAGAGCUCAAAUUUGAAAGCUGGCGUCCUACGGGCGUCCGCAUUGUAAUCUAUAGAGGCGUUUUCUGUGCUGGACCGUGUCCAAGUCCCUUGGAACAGGGUAUCAAAGAGGGUGACAAUCCCGUACUUGACUUGGUCGAUCAUCAUGUUAGAAGGGCUUUUUCAACGAGUCGGGUUGUUUGGGAAUGCAGCCCAAAAUGGGUGGUAAAUUUCAUCUAAGGCUAAAUAUCAGCGAGAGACCGAUAGCGCACAAGUA
rnacentral:rRNA from 1 species